AAUCGUCCAAGGCCCACUGGGCAUGCCUGAAAAAUAAGGCCACUAGAAACUCCCUCAGGUGUUCAAGUCUUUUCCCGCUCCUCGGAAUUUUCCCCUCUCAUUCGCAUUACUUUUAUUCUGAUGGAAACGGCGCGGGCUAGGACCCAGGAGGGGCGCAUUUCAAGUCCUACUGGCCCGGCAUUCGCGGUGGGCAACCCUUGCGAGGCCCGCGGUUCGCAGGGAGCUGGCGGUCAGAGCAGUGGCUCUGGAGAGCGACGCGAUGAAGCCCAGACCUGCAGGGUUCGUGGAUAAUAAACUCAAGCAGCGAGUCAUCCAGUACCUUACCAGUAACAAAUGUGGCAAAUAUGUGGACAUUGGAGUCUUAGCAUCUGAUUUACAAAGAAUGUACAGUAUAGACUAUGGUCGAAGAAAAAGAAAUGCUUUUAGGAUUCAGGUAGAAAAAGUAUUUAGCAUAAUUAGUAGUGAGAAGGAACUUAAGAAUUUAACAGAAUUAGAAGAUGAACAUUUGGCAAAAAGAGCAAGACAUGGUGAAGAGGAUAAUGAGUAUACUGAAAGCUAUUCUGAUGAUGAUUCAAGUGUGGAAGAGUACCGAGAUCCACAGUCAGCAAAUCACAUGAACACUUCCCUGCUGUCUUUAUAUCGGAAAGGAAAUCCUGAUUCUGUUUCAAAUACUCCUGAGAUGGAACAAACAGAAACCACCUCUUCAACACCACGGUUAAGUUCCAAAACAGCCUCCAUUCCCUUGAAGACUCCUGCCAAAGAUUCAGAGGGAGGAUGGUUUAUUGACAAAACCCCAAGUGGAAAGAAAGACAGUUUUUUCUUGGAACUAUCAGAUGAGAAAAGUAAUCCUAAGAAGCCAAUAACUGAGAUACAGGAUUCAAAAGAGUCUUCUCUUUUGGAGAGUGAUAUUAAACGGAAAGGCAGGCUAAAGAAUAAAGGAAGCAAAAGGAAGAAAGAAGAUCUUCAGGAAGUAGAUGGAGAAAUUGAAGCUGUCCUGCAAAAGAAAGCUAAAGCCGGGGGGUUAGAAUUCCAGAUCUCCAACGUGAAGUUUGAAGAUGUGGGAGGCAAUGAUAUGACAUUAAAAGAGGUCUGCAAGAUGCUCAUUCACAUGCGUCACCCAGAGGUGUACCACCACCUGGGCGUCGUGCCCCCUCGUGGAGUUCUCCUUCAUGGGCCACCAGGCUGUGGAAAGACAUUACUUGCACAUGCAAUUGCUGGGGAACUUGACCUGCCAAUUUUGAAAGUGGCUGCUCCAGAGAUUGUGUCUGGAGUAUCCGGAGAGUCUGAGCAGAAGCUGAGAGAACUAUUCGAGCAAGCUGUGUCAAAUGCACCAUGUAUCAUUUUCAUUGAUGAAAUUGAUGCUAUUACACCCAAAAGAGAAGUUGCUUCAAAAGAUAUGGAACGAAGAAUUGUAGCCCAACUCCUAACCUGCAUGGAUGAUCUGAAUAAUGUGGCUGCUACAGCCCGGGUCCUAGUUAUUGGAGCUACUAAUCGACCAGACUCAUUAGACCCUGCUUUGAGACGUGCUGGAAGGUUCGACCGAGAAAUAUGCCUAGGUAUCCCAGAUGAAGCAUCCAGGGAAAGAAUACUUCAAACAUUGUGCAGAAAACUGAGACUUCCUCAAGCUUUUGAUUUCUGUAACUUAGCACACCUAACUCCAGGCUUUGUUGGUGCUGAUCUGAUGGCACUGUGCCGAGAGGCAGCAAUGUGUGCAGUCAAUAGAGUCUUAAUGAAGCUACAGGAGCAGCAGAAGAAAGAUCCUGAAAUGGAAGAUUUGCCAUCUAAAGGAGUCCAGGAGGAAAGGCUGGGAACUGAGCCCACUUCUGAAACACAGGAUGAAUUACAAAGGCUGCUGGGGUUGCUAAGAGACCAAGAUCCCCUCUCAGAAGAGCAGAUGCAAGGACUGUGCAUUGAACUGAAUGAUUUCAUUGUUGCUCUAUCCUCAGUCCAACCCUCUGCCAAAAGAGAAGGCUUUGUCACUGUCCCUAAUGUGACAUGGGCAGAUAUUGGUGCCCUGGAAGACAUUAGAGAGGAGCUCACUAUGGCAAUAUUGGCACCAGUACGCAACCCGGACCAGUUCAAAGCUCUUGGAUUGGUGACUCCGGCUGGGGUGCUCCUUGCUGGUCCUCCUGGCUGUGGGAAGACUCUGCUGGCAAAGGCUGUUGCGAAUGAGUCUGGACUAAAUUUUAUAUCUGUCAAGGGCCCCGAAUUACUAAACAUGUACGUUGGUGAGAGUGAACGUGCUGUGCGACAAAUUUUUCAACGAGCCAAGAACUCAGCACCCUGUGUGAUAUUCUUUGAUGAGGUGGAUGCUUUAUGUCCUCGAAGAUCAGAUCGAGAGACAGGGGCAAGUGUCCGAGUGGUGAAUCAGCUACUUACAGAGAUGGAUGGUCUGGAAACACGCCAGCAGGUUUUUAUUAUGGCAGCCACUAACAGGCCAGAUAUAAUUGACCCUGCAAUCCUGCGCCCAGGCCGCCUGGACAAAACACUGUUUGUGGGUUUACCACCCCCCGCAGAUCGCCUUGCCAUCUUAAAAACUAUCACAAAAGUGAAAUGGUACCAAACCACCACUGGAUGCAGAUGUAAAUUUGGAAGCAAUUGCUGGUGACCUUCGCUGUGAUUGCUAUACGGGUGCAGAUCUCUCUGCUUUGGUACGAGAAGCUUCUAUCUGUGCCCUGAGACAGGAAAUGGCAAGACAGAAGAGUGGAAAUGAAAAAGGUGAACUCAAGAUUAGUAAUAAGCACUUUGAAGAAGCUUUCAAGAAAGUAAGAUCAUCUAUAUCAAAAAAGGAUCAAGUCAUGUAUGAACGUUUGCAGGAGUCCCUCAACCGGUGACGUCUCCAGCAACCAGCUCGAAGGAGCCAGCCCAUCAAGCCAGCAGAGAACCCUACACGCUCUGAAGGACCUGCUUUCAGCUGGACACAGGUGCUGUCUCAUGUAAGCAAUUUGUUUUCAAAUUAAUGAGGCCAAGCUGAAGCUGAAGACUCUUCCCAUCUGACCAGUCUGGUGUGAAAAUGCCUUCUUCCUCUUUAAGAAAAAGGAAAAAUUUUAAACUGCUGAAAUAAAAUAACUGUUACACUUUUCAAAUAAAACUUUUACUUUGAACUA